GAUUGAACGCUGGCGGCAGGCCUAACACAUGCAAGUCGAACGGUAACAGGAAACAGCUUGCUGUUUCGCUGACGAGUGGCGGACGGGUGAGUAAUGUCUGGGAAACUGCCUGAUGGAGGGGGAUAACUACUGGAAACGGUAGCUAAUACCGCAUAACGUCGCAAGACCAAAGAGGGGGACCUUCGGGCCUCUUGCCAUCGGAUGUGCCCAGAUGGGAUUAGCUAGUAGGUGGGGUAACGGCUCACCUAGGCGACGAUCCCUAGCUGGUCUGAGAGGAUGACCAGCCACACUGGAACUGAGACACGGUCCAGACUCCUACGGGAGGCAGCAGUGGGGAAUAUUGCACAAUGGGCGCAAGCCUGAUGCAGCCAUGCCGCGUGUAUGAAGAAGGCCUUCGGGUUGUAAAGUACUUUCAGCGGGGAGGAAGGGAGUAAAGUUAAUACCUUGGCCCAUUGACGUUACCCGCAGAAGAAGCACCGGCUAACUCCGUG
rnacentral:rRNA from 1 species